UACGUAGGGACCGAGCGUUGUCCGGAUUCAUUGGGCGUAAAGAGCUCGUAGGCGGCUGUUCAAGUCGAACGUGAAAACUCGGAGCUCAACUCCGAGCCUGCGUUCGAUACUGGACGGCUAGAGUCUGGUAGGGGGAUCUGGAAUUCCUGGUGUAGCGGUGGAAUGCGCAGAUAUCAGGAGGAACACCAGUGGCGAAGGCGGGUCUCUGGGCCGAUACUGACGCUGAGGAGCGAAAGCGUGGGGAGCGAACAGG
rnacentral:rRNA from 1 species